CCCUGCCAUGCCCCCGCCCAGACCUUGCUGUGCUAUAGAUGGAGGUCUGCACUGUCAACUUGAUUCUUCACAUGCCCAGAAUUCCUCCUCUGAAGAUCUUUAAAGAGGGAACUGGACAGAUGUUUUCAUUAAUUGUCACUGGUUAAGACAAAUCUGGAAUGCAGACCUUCAAGUUUUGUUUGCUUUUUUUUUUUUAAGGCAAACAACAUGAAUUGACAAUGUUUCCUCUAGUCCCAAGAACUGCUUGAGAUCAAACCAUGUUGAUCUCUAAACAAAAAUGACUUCUAAACCUAUGAGAUUUGAUUAUAAACCUUGUCCUUGAUUUAUAUUCUAAGAAAUAACACUAAGAAGCUGUGUUCCAGAAAAGCCCAGGGCACAGUCUUCUGCAAUCUGUUAGGCAACUAUUUUUAAAAGCGGGUGGGGGAGGGGAGAUAUGUAGAAUAACUGUUUGGCACAUAAUUAAUUGAGUUCCGUCUCCAAGUACGAGGUCACAAAUUACUGGAGGCAGUCAGCUCAUUUUAGUUCUAAGAGAUCUAUACAGUCAGAUGUAUCCCUCAGUGAGGCAGGUAAAGCUGCAUGGUCGACUGUUCUUUUGAGAAAGGAAAGAAAUGCUUCUGUAGAGCUGAAAACCAAAGUAGGUUGCUGAAGAUGGAGCAGUAGAAGCAAGGAGCUGUUACCUUUUUAAUAAAUCUAAUAUUUUGAAUACUCAGAAGGAGAAAAAUAUAUUAAGUGAUUCGGGGCCCAAAAGACUCUUCUACUCAUGUGAGACAGCACAAGUGCACGAGAAGUUUACGACUUAACUGCCAAGAGAGUGAUAGAGGUGAUAACUGCUCACGAGUCAGAGUGCUGGGGGGCAGAGCAACCCCAGACAACUGCCUGACUAGGGGGACCCCAGAGGACAGGCUUUGAAGGAUGUGGAGAGAAGUGCAGGAGGAGGGCAGGAAGGCAGGAGGAUUGGAAACAAGGAUCCAGGAGAGGAGGGAGAGGGCCAGAAACAGACAUGAGCAUGUGAGCACGUCCUCAGGGGAGGUCUGA
rnacentral:lncRNA from 1 species